rnacentral:lncRNA from 10 species
CUUGAUUGCUGGGCCCUGGUUGAACUCCUUAUUAGUAACACCCAGGUUAGUCCUACUUAAUUCUUACCUGCAGCCAAAGUGGACUUAGCAUCUCCUUGCAUGCCUGGUAAAGUCAAGGGUUUUCAGCCAGGGCCUGUGUAUAAAGCAGAAGCAGCACAGAGUCUGGUUUGAAGCUUAGUGCUUGGGUUCAGACAGUUGUGGGUUACAAUCCCUUCUACACAUGUUCUCUGUGGAAACCAUUUGGUUCUCUGUGCUUGGAACUCGCCUGCAACGGGACAAAGCCAUCUCACCUAGACUGUUGUUAUGAAGAUUGAAUUAGGUGAUUCUGAGAGGCAUUUAUGCGUCCUCCCUGAGUAACAAUCCAUGAAAAGUGGGCGUCAUUGCUGAAGCUCAAGGAAGAAAUAUGAAAUUUGAUUAUAUCCUUAUUCACGGCAUUGGGUCACCAACUCAGCACUUUUUAUGAAAGUAGCAUCUGACCUGGCAAAGGCUGUGUCAUCUUAUUACCUCAGAAAGACAAAUUUACGGGGUCAGACGAUGGAUGGCUUGUAGAUUUCUCAAUGGGCUGGAAGGAAGGAGAGAAAAAGAGAGACAGGAGAGAGUACACAUUUAAUUCUGCUUCCCCUAGGGUGAUAUUUCCUUCCUCCCCUUCCAGGGUUCUCAAAAAGGCAUUCUAGGAAGUCCUGUAAAAUACAUGCUCAUAAAAAUCUCAUAAUUUCCACAAAUUGUUGAGAAUUUAAAACUCGGUUGGGAGUUUGCUGUUUCAGCCUGAGACACCGGGGUCACGUUUCAGUGCCUGCAGUCUUGAGACAGUACCAGGCAUCUGGGAUGAAGCUGAGGAAAGAAGAUGUGGGGGCCCUGCUGGCCUGCUCCUUCUCUCGAAAGACGCUUACCGGCUGCUGGUGUGUCACAGGGCUUUAGGAUUUGGAAAAACAGAGGGAUUUAAAAGAAGAUAGAAUGGUCAGAAUUUCGAGAACUGUGUGCUGAAGUGCCAUCUUUAGGGUGCUCAUAACACGGCCUUACAACAUUAGAGGUGCUGGAAUCAUGGAAGAGGCAUCUGGACUCUGUAAUGUCCUUCCCCCUGGAAAAUCUGCUCCAGAAGUGGGGGAUUGGGAGCUGUCAACAUAUGAGCCAUCUUUUGCUCCGUUCAAGAUGGUAGGGGCAUUCUCAACAUGCCCCUCACUCUGAUUCUGCCUCACUUUUAUUUUAGAAUUUUCCACUGCCUUUUCUGGAAUGUGCUUUUUCAACCCUCAAAAUCUGUAGAGAAGAAAUAAGCAGAAACCGAAAUGGCUUUCUGGUGUUCUCCAUGCUCUCAGCUUACUGGAAAAUCGAGCCGCAGGCUCGAGGCUGGACUUUAAGGCAGAGCACUGCAAUUAUAGUGCUAUGGCCUUGGCUUCCUUUCUCAUCACCCAGGUACAGUCCUGCAGUCCUCAGAGGAUGCCAGUCCCACACAGGGGGAUCCUUCUCCAUAGGAAAACCGAGGAACAAUGCAGGUUCGAGGUGCACAGUGGCUAAGCACACUCAGUCCUCAAGAUCUUUCCUCUCAAAUGCUAAUGCUACCUUCAGAUGGGCUGCUGCCUGCUACCAUUUCAACAUUGAGUCCUUUAAGAUGCCAUCAGAGAGAGGGGAAGCAAGAGGCCAAGAAAAAUGAAAGGAGUUAAGAGUAAACCAUACUCCGGGCAACCAUCACCCCAAAAGGGAGACAACCAGACCUUCUGUGCCUCCCAAUGAAAGUCCACAUUCAACACCACCUACGAAGGAUUCUUACCAAAGACACCAAAACUGAACUCAGGCAACCCUCCAGAUAUAACUACCAAUUUGCAGAAAAUAAAAGGGAUAGAAGAACACAAAGAUGCAAUCAGCAAAAUUCAGACAGGACAAGCAAUAUUUUUUUCAAGAAGAAGAAGAAAA